GGUUAAGCGACUAAGCGUACACGGUGGAUGCCCUGGCAGUCAGAGGCGAUGAAGGACGUGCUAAUCUGCGAUAAGCGUCGGUAAGGUGAUAUGAACCGUUAUAACCGGCGAUUUCCGAAUGGGGAAACCCAGUGUGUUUCGACACACUAUCAUUAACUGAAUCCAUAGGUUAAUGAGGCGAACCGGGGGAACUGAAACAUCUAAGUACCCCGAGGAAAAGAAAUCAACCGAGAUUCCCCCAGUAGCGGCGAGCGAACGGGGAGCAGCCCAGAGCCUGAAUCAGUGUGUGUGUUAGUGGAAGCGUCUGGAAAGGCGCGCGAUACAGGGUGACAGCCCCGUACACAAAAAUGCACAUGCUGUGAGCUCGAUGAGUAGGGCGGGACACGUGGUAUCCUGUCUGAAUAUGGGGGGACCAUCCUCCAAGGCUAAAUACUCCUGACUGACCGAUAGUGAACCAGUACCGUGAGGGAAAGGCGAAAAGAACCCCGGCGAGGGGAGUGAAAAAGAACCUGAAACCGUGUACGUACAAGCAGUGGGAGCACGCUUAGGCGUGUGACUGCGUACCUUUUGUAUAAUGGGUCAGCGACUUAUAUUCUGUAGCAAGGUUAACCGAAUAGGGGAGCCGAAGGGAAACCGAGUCUUAACUGGGCGUUAAGUUGCAGGGUAUAGACCCGAAACCCGGUGAUCUAGCCAUGGGCAGGUUGAAGGUUGGGUAACACUAACUGGAGGACCGAACCGACUAAUGUUGAAAAAUUAGCGGAUGACUUGUGGCUGGGGGUGAAAGGCCAAUCAAACCGGGAGAUAGCUGGUUCUCCCCGAAAGCUAUUUAGGUAGCGCCUCGUGAAUUCAUCUCCGGGGGUAGAGCACUGUUUCGGCAAGGGGGUCAUCCCGACUUACCAACCCGAUGCAAACUGCGAAUACCGGAGAAUGUUAUCACGGGAGACACACGGCGGGUGCUAACGUCCGUCGUGAAGAGGGAAACAACCCAGACCGCCAGCUAAGGUCCCAAAGUCAUGGUUAAGUGGGAAACGAUGUGGGAAGGCCCAGACAGCCAGGAUGUUGGCUUAGAAGCAGCCAUCAUUUAAAGAAAGCGUAAUAGCUCACUGGUCGAGUCGGCCUGCGCGGAAGAUGUAACGGGGCUAAACCAUGCACCGAAGCUGCGGCAGCGACGCUUAUGCGUUGUUGGGUAGGGGAGCGUUCUGUAAGCCUGCGAAGGUGUGCUGUGAGGCAUGCUGGAGGUAUCAGAAGUGCGAAUGCUGACAUAAGUAACGAUAAAGCGGGUGAAAAGCCCGCUCGCCGGAAGACCAAGGGUUCCUGUCCAACGUUAAUCGGGGC
rnacentral:rRNA from 1 species